CCUGGCGGCACUAGCGCGGUGGUCCCACCUGACCCCAUGCCGAACUCAGAAGUGAAACGCCGUAGCGCCGAUGGUAGUGUGGGGUCUCCCCAUGCGAGAGUAGGGAACUGCCUGGC
rnacentral:rRNA from 1 species